CAGCCUCAAGGAACACCCCGCGGGCCUGUAGUAUGGCGUCCCAAGGCAGAGUAGUGGGUAUCGUCAACAUGAUGCUGCUCCCUACUCUACUUUAGCCUCUCAUUAUAACAUUUAUUAGUUAUCAAAGUGCCAUGAAGUUCAGGAAAUAAUAUUCGUCGCAUCAAAAAUGCUAUAAAGGUGAAAAUUGCUUUUCCAAAAGGAGAGAGGCAGGCAAAUACGUGGGAUCCGCCGGCCCAACACCUGUCAAUUCGCCCACCUCCCAUCGUUUCCAGCUUGAAGAGAAAGCUCAUUAAUAUCGUGAAAUAAGUGAUGAACAAGUGCUGUGAAGUAGUGUGGCGUGGGUUAUAUGAGGAUCAGCUGGCGAAUGAAGCGUGCAAUGGGGGAGACAGGCAUGCAAAGUUUACCAAGCAUCAACACACAAACGAUGUAUCGCUUGUUCCAGCGCGGAGAGAAGCGAAUCUCGUGAUCAACAUUCGUCCCAUGCAGAACUUCGGUGCCUCCUCACAAACCUUGCCCCCAAUCAAGCGCGUGCUGGCAAUGCCUCUCGUGUGCAGUCAGUCAGUCAUGCAUAUAACGUGCUAACAGACGCUAGGCCAGGCCCUCUGAAGUGGUACGGCGCGAUAGGCUGAAUAUCCACUGAGUUCUUAAUGUGGCGACCCACCCAGCGCGCCCUUAGAAGACCACCACUACUACUGGCAUUACAACCUCCAACACAACUGCGACGGUCAUCCGAGUCUGCUCUUCGGUAAGAGAGAGGCGUGGUGAAUAGGGAGGCGGGGCGGCGGCACCAUUCAUCCCCAGACCCACGUCAACACGGGAGUGAAUCCCUGUGAGUCCCGCUGCCACCCCGCUGCUCCAUGCCCCCCAUCGGAGCCCACACCCUUCGUACUACUUUUGUUCCUCUGCGGCAUAAUUAGGCAUUAGCCACAAGACAACCUGAUUAGUGCGGUAUGCGUGGCAGGGUAAAGUCUUACUGAGGCUCCCUGGGCGUGUACUAGUUGUUUACUUUGUACGGAGGCGGUGGCACAGAUGAUGGAUCUUGUGGUGAAGACGGCUGUCAACUGAUAAAUUAACUGAGUAGAAGACUUGAUAUUGAAGGUAAACGCCAAGCACAGUGAAAGUGAGUGUUCUAUGUUGGCUUUUGACCACGAGUAUCCAGUAGGCUUGGUGGGGACAGCUGGUAGGAUGUACUCUUAUUAUGGAGGCUACAGUACCUAGUAAUACAGUGGUGCAGAGACUUGGCGGGGAUGGCUGGUAGGAUGUCAGUGUACUCAUAUUAUGCAGAGUACAGUACAGUUCAUUGGUGUGGUGAUGCAAGAAUUUGAUGGGGACAGCUGCAUGUGGGAAGUUAAUGUAAAGUGUAGGUCCCGGGUAUACUGUAGCGGUACCCAGGCUUUGUGGCGAGAGCUGUGUGUGGGGAUGUCGAAAAGGUUGUGGUGAUGCGAGGCUCGCGUCAGGCGAGAGAGAGGCAGAGAGAGAGAGAGAGAGAGAGAGAGAGAGAGAGAGAGAGAGAGAGAGAGAGAGAGAGAGAGAGAGAGAGACCGUCAGAGUCAUUGGUAUUGCAGCAUUUUGAACCCCGGCGGCUGAUAAUAUUUUAGGUUAUUGCAUAGGCAGGACAUGGCAGGCAUUGCAUAUAAACAUGUAUACAACAUAAACAUGCGAGUAUAUCCCCACCGUAGUUAGGAAACUUUUUGAAUUGGUUUUACGUAUUCACAUUGGUGACGUCGUUUGUCUGCUUGUU